GACGAACGCUGGCGGCGUGCUUAACACAUGCAAGUCGAACGGAAAGGCCCUGCUUUUGUGGGGUGCUCGAGUGGCGAACGGGUGAGUAACACGUGAGUAACCUGCCCUUGACUUUGGGAUAACUUCAGGAAACUGGGGCUAAUACCGGAUAGGAGCUCCUGCUGCAUGGUGGGGGUUGGAAAGUUUCGGCGGUUGGGGAUGGACUCGCGGCUUAUCAGCUUGUUGGUGGGGUAGUGGCUUACCAAGGCUUUGACGGGUAGCCGGCCUGAGAGGGUGACCGGCCACAUUGGGACUGAGACACGGCCCAGACUCCUACGGGAGGCAGCAGUGGGGAAUAUUGCACAAUGGGCGGAAGCCUGAUGCAGCAACGCCGCGUGCGGGAUGACGGCCUUCGGGUUGUAAACCGCUUUCGCCUGUGACGAGGCGUGAGUGACGGUAAUGGGUAAAGAAGUACCGGCUAACUACGUGCCAGCAGCCGCGGUGAUACGUAGGGUGCGAGCGUUGUCCGGAUUUAUUGGGCGUAAAGGGCUCGUAGGUGGUUGAUCGCGUCGGAAGUGUAAUCUUGGGGCUUAACCCUGAGCGUGCUUUCGAUACGGGUUGACUUGAGGAAGGUAGGGGAGAAUGGAAUUCCUGGUGGAGCGGUGGAAUGCGCAGAUAUCAGGAGGAACACCAGUGGCGAAGGCGGUUCUCUGGGCCUUUCCUGACGCUGAGGAGCGAAAGCGUGGGGAGCGAACAGGCUUAGAUACCCUGGUAGUCCACGCUGUAAACGGUGGGUACUAGGUGUGGGGUCCAUUCCACGGGUUCCGUGCCGUAGCUAACGCUUUAAGUACCCCGCCUGGGGAGUACGGCCGCAAGGCUAAAACUCAAAGGAAUUGACGGGGCCCCGCACAAGCGGCGGAGCAUGCGGAUUAAUUCGAUGCAACGCGUAGAACCUUACCUGGGUUUGACAUGGAUCGGGAGUGCUCAGAGAUGGGUGUGCCUCUUUUGGGGUCGGUUCACAGGUGGUGCAUGGCUGUCGUCAGCUCGUGUCGUGAGAUGUUGGGUUAAGUCCCGCAACGAGCGCAACCCUUGUUCACUGUUGCCAGCACGUUAUGGUGGGGACUCAGUGGAGACCGCCGGGGUCAACUCGGAGGAAGGUGGGGAUGACGUCAAGUCAUCAUGCCCCUUAUGUCCAGGGCUUCACGCAUGCUACAAUGGCUGGUACAGAGAGUGGCGAGCCUGUGAGGGUGAGCGAAUCUCGGAAAGCCGGUCUCAGUUCGGAUUGGGGUCUGCAACUCGACCUCAUGAAGUCGGAGUCGCUAGUAAUCGCAGAUCAGCAACGCUGCGGUGAAUACGUUCCCGGGGC
rnacentral:rRNA from 1 species